CACACACUGCCUUAGAUCCACUUCUAGAAUUGGGUUGCGCAUUAGUUUGUGCACAAAGAAUUCCCAUUUCGACAGCCAUUCAGGCUGCUCAUGAGAAGUGCUUGAGUCAUUAGUGUGUGAAAGCGAUAUCCCUUGUAUUCUGACCAUGUGGCUUACAUAUUGUCCAUUUUCAGUCAGACAAGGGACAUUUAAUUAAUAUCAAUUAAUAUCAAUUAGUUUGUCACGUUAGUUAUUAGUCGGUGUGGACAUU